UACGGGGGAGCAAGCGUUGUUCGGAUUUACUGGGCGUAAAGGGCGCGUAGGCGGUCGUGACAAGUCACUUGUGAAAUCUCCGGGCUUAACUCGGAACGGUCAAGUGAUACUGUCGGACUAGAGUGCAGAAGGGGCAACUGGAAUUCUCGGUGUAGCGGUGAAAUGCGUAGAGAUCGGGAAGAACAUCGGUGGCGAAAGCGCUCUGCUGGACUGCAACUGACACUCAGGGACGAAAGCUAGGGGAGCGAAUGGG
rnacentral:rRNA from 1 species